rnacentral:lncRNA from 1 species
GGAGGCGCGGUCCUUCCAGCCUCUUGCUCCUGUGAAUCACAGGUCGGCGGGAGCCUUUUUUCCUUUUUUUUUUUUUUUUUUUUCCCGGGGAGUCGGCCUCGGGGCUCUGCUCUCCUACCUCAGUCUGCCCUACCCUGGAAUGGGGAAAAUGCGGACAUGCCACUCAGUCCGGCCGCGAACGGUGCUCCAGAACUCAGAGAGUUUUCCAGACGGGUGGAGAUCGCGUUCCCUGCCCGCCGAGGUCCCAUCGCUUCCCUGCUGGGAAGACAAAUGAGGCGCUUUAGCCGUCUCCACGGCCAGCCCCUCCCUCAUAACCCGAGAUUCUUUGUGGGCUCUUAGUCCAUAGCUGCCUUUGAGGUGGUGUAGACCUUGCUAACCAGGACGGCCCAGUAGGCAGAGCUCAUUUUUAUUCCUGUCUGCAAUCGUGCAAAAACGCCUCUUAUGGAAAAGGCAGAGCGCCAGGAGUCAGCAAAACACACUAAAGAUUGGGCAGUCACUGGGGAGAACACGGCCUGAAGCAACUGAAGAUCCACAAAAGAAGUGAAAAUAGCCUUAACUGAUGACAUUCCACCAUUGAGAUUUGUUCCUGCCCCACCCUAACUGAUACGAUAUAUUCUCCCCCGCCCUUAAGAAGACUCAGCCCGCCUGCACCCAGGUGAAAUAUACAGCCUUGUUGCUCACACAAAGCCUGUUUGGUGGUUUCUUCACAUGGAUGCAUGUGACAUUUGGUGCUGAAGACCCAGGACAGGAGGACUCCUUUGGGAGACCAGUCCCCUGUUAUCGCCCUCACUCCGUGAGGAGAUCCACCUAUGAUCUCAGGUCCUCAGACCAACCAGCCCAAGGAACAUCUCACCAAUUUCAAAUCGGAUAGGAGUGUCAGGCCUCUGAGUCCAAGCUAAGCCAUCAAAUCCCCUGUGACCUGCACGUGUACAUCCAGAUGACCUGAAGCAACUGAAGAUCCACAAAAGAAGUGAAAGUAGCCUUAACUGAUGACAUUCCACCAUUGUGAUUUGUUCCUGCCCCAUACUAACUGAUACCAUAUAUUCUUCCCCCGCCCUUGAGAAUGUACUUUGUACGCCUAUCCCAAACCUAUAAGAACUAAUGAUAAUCCCACCACCCUUUGCUGACUCUCUUUUUGGACUCAGCCCGCCUGCACCCAGGUGAAAUAAACAGCCCUGUUGCUCACACAAA